UACCGGCAUCCAAAUGGGGAUGACCGAAGGACCAAAUGGGGUCAACANN
rnacentral:ncRNA from 1 species